rnacentral:lncRNA from 1 species
UUUCUCCUGCUUACCUGUCUUUUGUCACUGUGAUUCUUAGGCCAGCCACAGAACCUGAGAGAAGAGGUUUUGUGCUGUACAGUUCUAAGAAAUAUCUGUGUCCUCAAUAAUCUCACUUCAAAAGAAGCCUCAUCAAAAAAACAAUGGAAUGCAGUAGAUUUUAAGGAUAUACAUUUUACCAAAGGAACUCAUCGAUGAACGCUCAGGAAUCACCAGGCUGAGAGAGAGAGAGAAGGGUGAAUAAGCCAGAGAACCCCCAGAACAGCUCUGGGGAAGCAGCACUGUAGGCUCUUAUUUCUAUAGUCACCUUUUAUUUUGCAGCCGCAGUUCACGGCGAGGAAUACCAAUGAGCUGAGGCAUGCUGCUAAUUGCCAGAUCAACAUAACCUCUAGGGAGAAAAGCAAAAAAGCUUUCCUAUUAACUUCAGCAGUGGAAUAAUUUGAAUCUCCUUCUAAGAUGUCUUGUCUCUUUUUUGGUUAAUUACUGUGGCAAACCUUAUUUUCUCUUUAAAUCAAGCCCUGCAAUGCCCUUAAUUCAACUGGGCUGCUCCUAAAGUGCAGCCUUCAGGGGAAUGAAAUGGGAGUCUUUCAUCUGAGAAAAAAUAAACCUUCUUGGG